GUGGGGAAUCUUGCGCAAUGGGCGAAAGCCUGACGCAGCCAUGCCGCGUGAAUGAUGAAGGUCUUAGGAUUGUAAAAUUCUUUCACCGGGGACGAUAAUGACGGUACCCGGAGAAGAAGCCCCGGCUAACUUCGUGCCAGCAGCCGCGGUAAAACGAAGGGGGCUAGCGUUGCUCGGAAUUACUGGGCGUAAAGGGCGCGUAGGCGGACAGUUUAGUCAGAGGUGAAAGCCCAGGGCUCAACCUUGGAAUUGCCUUUGAUACUGGCUGUCUUGAGUUUGGGAGAGGUGAGUGGAACUCCGAGUGUAGAGGGGAAAUUCGUAGAUAUUCGGAAGAACACCAGUGGCGAAGGCGACUCACUGGCCCAAUACUGACGCUGAGGUGCGAAAGCGUGGGGAGCAAACAGGAUUAGAUACCCUAGUAGUCC
rnacentral:rRNA from 1 species